AUGUUCGAGUUGCCAGCAGAAUUGACAGCUAAACCUUUAGCUUUGAUAGGUUUAACAGGAUUAGACAUUACAAAUCCAGUACAUCGAUCUAUCUGGGAUGCAUUUAGCAACAAUCGUAGACCGGAUGGUGCAGCAGUUCAGUUCAAACUACUCAGUUUGUCACAUGAGUUUCCUACUGUUAAACCAAAGCGUAGUUCAUAUGAAUGGUACAUACCUAAAGGGAUAUUAAAAAGAAAUUGGAUGAACAAAUAUCUCAAUGACAUUCCUUCUGUAGUUGUUGUAUUUUAUGAUUUGGAUUGGAAUGAUCCUUUAUGGAAUGAGAAGAAGAUGGAAUGUGCCUCUAGAGUACAAUCGUUAAGAGCUUCCCUUGAUGGAAGAAGUACAAAAAUAGCUGUAGUAUUAAUACAGCGUGCUAUUCAACCACCACCUGGUGCUGAGGAUGUGAUUGCAACUGAGCGUGCAACAGCACUAUGUGGAGCUUGUGAUUUAACAGCAAAAUUUUUGUAUAUUUUGCCACAUGCUGAUCAUUUAUUGGGAUAUACAUCUAGGCUAGAGACAGCAUUUUAUGAUCUAGCUCAAAACUUUUAUCAUCAUGAAUAUCGGAAUGUUAAAAGUCAUCGCGACCAACUCACUAAAAAUGUUCAUCAAUACUUGUUUGUUCGUCAUCAGUUUAAAAUGGCAUUCUUAAAUGAACUCAAACAAGAACAACAUCUCGCUCAAAAGCAUUAUGCACAAGCUUACCACAAUCUAUUAGAAACGAGAAUGACAGAUGCAAAUGCAGUUGAGAUCAAAACUAUUGCAAGUUUUAUAAAUUAUAAGUUAUGCAAAAUAAUGUUUUGCUUAAAUCUCCCGAAAGACGCCAUCUCUCAAUUUAGACUUCAUACAGAAAGAUUUAAGUUAAAAACCGGACCAAAAGAGCUCAUGUUUGAACACCAUGCUUGGAUGAGUGGUCAGUUCUCUACAUUCGCGGAAUUGUUCGAUGAAGCAAUUCGUCAAGGGUUACCCGCUGUUCAAACGCAGCAUCCGGGUUAUUAUUUUCAAUUAGCUGCCAAUCACGCAGGUUUACGACAAUCCGCGUGUAAAGACCUGUGUCAGAAUGUAAAUAGCUAUCCAGAUCAAGAUCCAUUAGCAGGUGAAGAGAAACUAGAAUUUUAUGGACAACGUCCAUGGCGACCUGGAAAAUUGAGUGCAGAACCUGCAGAUACAGCAAGAGAAGCUAUUGGUAUACAGGCUUUACAAUAUAGAGAGAAAACCUCCGUUAAUCAUUCUAUGAUAAUUAUUGGUUUGUUAGGAAAUGCGAUAUCGCAGUUCAAAGUGUAUCGAUGUCCACGAAUGCGACGAUUAUUAGUUGUACAAAUGGCAGAGGAGUACUUCAAUGCUCGAGAUUAUGGCAAAGUUCUGACAUUAUUGAUGCAUAUGUUAUGGGAAUAUCAUGGAGAACGAUGGCCAGUCUUGCUGACAGAUAUCUUAAAGAAUGCACUGCGGGCCGCGUAUCUGUCGACAAGUAUUCAAGAUUAUCUCACUCUGGCUCUUGAAGCUUUGGGACCCUCAACUACAUUCUUAGAAGAGCGACAAGCUAUUAUUUAUGAUAACAUUAUGAAUAUUCUACAGAAGAAACCACCGAAUCCAGAACCAGACUUACCAGAUGAUGUUAAGCAUCUGGCAGUGGAAAAGUGGACAUUGGAAUUAAGUCGUCCAGAGCCGACUAUUUUUACAAUUGAUGACAAUAACAUGACAUCGUUUGUCGACCUUAAAGCACGAUUUCUGCAACCGACGUAUGCAGUGAAUACAAUGAUAACGGUGGAAGUUAUCAUAAGGAAUUCGUAUUGUGGUACCAUUGAAUUCACCAAUGUAUUAGUAACAAUCAGUGGUCCAGGUUAUAAUGUUGAGAUUCCAGUUAGCGAUACUCAACAAUUUAAUCUUGUUUUUCAAGCGAAGGAAACGAAGAAAUUUUAUUUCAACUUUAAAGCACCUCAUCAAAAUGAUGGCGUGGAAAUUCGCAUUAACACAGUUUCGUUGCAGAUGGGUGAUAACGCACAUUGUUGUAUUAUAUUAAGAUUUUCAGCUAUGGGUAGGGAUACGAAUUUGUUUGACCGUUUGUAUCCUGAGAUACAACAACUUCGCGGAGGCGAAUUUGAGGCGAUAAGACCAUUGAUUCAUGCAGAAAUCAAACAGGAAGAAUCCAGUUUAAACAUACACGCAGAAUCCAAUAAUCCCGCGCUUUUAGGCGAGUGGCUACCCAUCACUAUAUCUCUAUCAGCUAACGAAGAUGUAACUGCUGUUUCUUUACAUAUAACACUCGUACCAGAUGGUAGCAACGAGCAAUCAACCGAGCUAAGCUUGAACAUGCUUAAUAAGCAGUCAAAAGUAUUAGUUCCUGUUAACAAUAUAAAUAAAGGUUCCUGUGCUAAACAUGUUAUAUAUAUUAGAGCACAUAAAGUGGGCGACAGAAAUAUCGUUGUAAAGGCGGAGUAUUCUAGACCUGAACAAGUCAAGGGAAAUAAGGAAUUGACAUAUAUGUUGGCAGUUAAGAAACCAUUUGAAGUAGCAACGCAGUUUUAUACCACACUGUUCGAGCCACUAACAAACGGAUUUGUUAAUGAACCAUUUAUCAUUAUGCCUCAUAUUACAUGCGUUUCUCCAUGGCCUAUAAACAUUUUAAACACAUCUAUAGAAUUGGCGGAUUCUAUUGAAAGAGAGCACAGUCUGGAUAAUCAAGAGUCCAUUCUGACGAAUAUUACACUGCGUGAUGGUGAGGCAGGAACUGACGCCUAUUGUUUGAUUCCAAAAACAGGUGGUGAGCAGCCUAUCAGUACCGGAGUAUAUACUAUCAAAUGGAAAAGAGCAAACGAUGAAACGGCAUUGGAAACUAGCAGUAGUGUAACUUUAGCUCCUCUAUGUGUCGAAGACGCAGUGAUCGGACUGGAAGCCAAAAUGCCAGCCCACGGAUGGGUUCGCACACCAUUUUGUAUAUCUUACUUCAUAAAAAAUCAUUCCGAUUAUCUCGUCACUUUGCGCUUAGCUAUGGAAGGUAGUGAUGCCUUCAUGUUUGCUGGGCAAAAACAGGUUGACAUUUAUAUAUUACCUAGAAAUAUAAGGAAAGUUGAUUGGGUCUUACGACCGCUGGUCGCCGGUUUUGUGGCUCUUCCAACGUUAUCGCUAACAGUACCUGCAGAUGAGGAACAUAAGACGGGUAAAACACGUUUGUCGGAGGUGGUUGAACGUUCAUUGCCGAGUCACAUAUAUAUAUUGCCGAAAUCGCAAUCUUUAGCAGAAUGAACGUAUUCAAUUUUGGGACUCUUUUCUUAUGGGAGGAAUAUCGUAACUUUUCAUCAAACUGUAUUAUAAAAUUAGUUGUACAUUUAUAUAUUAUAAAAUUAGUUAUAUAUUUUGAACAGACAAUUUGAUAAGUUGUAACUUGUUGAAUAUAAUUUAUUUGAAUUAUUUUAUAUUAAAUGUCUCUAGUUUUUAAAACAGCCUGACGUUAUGAAGUUCUCAAGUUUUAACAGACAUUCGUUAAAUGGCAGUAACUAUAUCGUCGUCAUGCCACGACGCAUACAUGCAUAGAUAUCGAUCGCUUCCAGCGAGCGUUACGUUUUGUGCGUCACCGUAGAAACCGUGUAACUCACGAUACAUCAGUAAACGUGAAAUAAUUUUCCUCUUCCAUGUUUCUUUAUUAUAGCGUGCUUUUAGUCAAUAAUCGUACUAAAACUAGUUUCUAGUGGAUACAAAAUAUUCUCGCGUAUACGGUGAGCUGCAGUAAUAGUGCUAUGAAAUGGCGAGGAGCGGCAAUAUUGAUAUCGGAAGCGUUUUUGACGAAUACCUGCAAAAAGAACAACAAUUCGAACAAGAAAUAGAAGAACGAUAAUUAUCAUAUUCCAUUUUACUUUACAGUAAUAAGUUACGUCGCGAAAUACCCAACAGAAACGUUGUCAAAGUUUCCGACUCAUUCUCGACGAAUCUUCCCAUAAACUUGGAAAAAUCUCGCAUUCGUAAUCAGACUCUUCUAAAGGUUUGUUAUAACGCUUUUCUCACGUUAAAGCAAGUAGCAUUUACGUAAAAUUUUAAAAUCACGAAUUUGACACAUAUUACAGACGAUAUAUAUCACUUUGGAAUAAUUUAUGAUCUACCGAUAAUUUUGCCAAUUAUGUGACUAAUGUUAUUCAGCUGCAAUUAAUUAUUCUGUUACGCACGCGUAAUUUAAGAACCGUUACUAACCAUAUGCUACCAUGAAUAAAACGUCGAAGCAUUUCUGAAUUGAAAGACUAAAGUAUUCUAAUAUAUGUAACAGUAACGCGAGAUGUUCAUAAAAUUAUGCGUGCGUUGACAUAUGUAAAAGAAAUAUACGUAUAUAUUUUGUAUUCUAUUAGUAGACUCAAUAAAAUUGCGAACUUAUAUAUUAUUUCGUGACAGGAUCUGGAGAUGUCUAAAGCUCGUUUGAGAACUUACGCAUCUUAUACGCCUACCGAUGAAGAAUUACAGCAAAUUUUGUCGGCUUAUCGAAGCUACCUCCGUAAGAAGCUCCGAAACAUGGAUUCUUGACGAUAUUAUUCUUACGUGACGAGGAGAAAGUCACUGGUGAUCGUUAGCUCAACCCGAUAACUCGAGCCGAACGAACAAACUUCCAAAUGAAAAGUUUGUUGAUCGUUGGGAUCGAUGAAUCGAGCUGAUUAUUGAUGUGUACGUAAUUUACUGGUGACUGCGUUUUCGCACGUUCAAUAACGUAAGAACCGAUUUAUUUUAUUCAGAUCGAUAUAAUUUAGAUCGAUGUAUAAGACGCGCGUAAUUUUCUCUUGACUUCGGAUCUCCCGCUUAUACUGCCGUGCACUUCCAGUCGAGUUUGAGAGAGCAACCGUAUUAUUUUCAUAAAACUACAUUCGCAAAAACCGAAUGUGAAAUUCAUGUACGUACAUAACAACUCGUCCACUUGCUUACUUGAAUCUGCAUAUUAUCGAUCAUAAUAAUUGUCACUAUACACUGUAUAAAGUGUGCCACGAAGUCUAUUACAUUAUAAUAUUGACAAUUGUUUUAGACACACGCGAAAUCUCAACCUAUGUUAAACACGCAAUCUGUCAUAAAGUAAGGAACGUGCUCGUAGCUAACUCAUCGCCUUCCGACGAAAUAUGAACUAAAAGCUGAAAUCUAAAUAGCGAGCUAAUUUGUACUCUAAUCUACCUGCGCAAAGGUCUUUGCGAGCUGAUUACAAUGGUAAAUAGCGUUUCCUUUAAAUACCCGCGCGGCGAUCGCUUACCGUUCGACGAUACAUUCCCCGGACGGAUCGAUAGGAUCUCUUAGUCGCUAGCACCGGAUCGUCGGCGAGCUUCUCGAAGGAUUAUGCGACGGAAAGAUGCGUAAAGAAGACGCGUGGACGGACAAGUGCGAACGACGUGUGCUCCACCUGUCCGUAUGCCAUAUUCAUAUUCAUUUUCCACGUGUGGCCGCACUAUCAUUGCUGAUAAUUACUGGCGCGCACAACGUGUACACCCGAUAGGACGGCCACGUUUCAGAAGCUACCUGAUAAGAGCUCAGGCCAAUAAUUCGCCGGCGAGUCGCGUUUAUACUUAGCGCCUUCUGUUUUACAUGCGAUCCGCAAAACUUACGCGAAUCUAGUCAUGACCUUCGCCGUUUAUUCGUCCGCGUGACUUUUGGCUCGUUAAACGCGUCGACAGAUUAGAUUUAAUCCAUUACUACCGCGAAUUUUACUGCUGGCCUCGUAUGUCACACAACACAAACAGCUUUCCGCAAGAACUUCAGGUAAAGUUACGCAAUUUAUGCAAAUAUCGUCGUCCUUGCGCAUACUAGUUUCACUUACCUCUCUCGUGCUCGUAAAAUAUCAAACUGAAAUGCUAGACGGAAAUCGAGAACACGGAAUUGGUGUUCCGUGCAUCGCGAAAAUUUUAGAGGGACUGAGAGGCGCGCGAAAUGAGAAAUGCGACGAGGAGUAUCAGCUACCUCGCGGCGUAUAAUUCUGUAUUUCUUCUACGUGGCAUAGCUGCAGCAGCUGAGUAAACGACAUGGCGCUGUGACUUCUUACUCUGACCAUUGUGUGACACUUGAAAACAUUUGUAUCAACAGUCUUCAUUCUUUCAGAGAUACCGUGUCAGCAGUUUUGGUCAAGGACCCCCCGUGUGUUGCAUUCUUCAAAGGAUGAUAUUUACAAAUUAUUCACUCUGAUCAAGAUCAUGUUAUUUUUGUGAUUUUACAUAAUGGCGCAAACUGACGCACACACUUCAUUUUUACACCGAGACUUAUCUAUUUGGAGCGCAUUACAGAUUCUCCCUUUUUGAGUCCACUAAAGGACACACUUUAUAGGAUUGAUAUAGAAUUAUCGUUUCGACGCGUUAUCGUUCGUUCAGUUGCAUAAGCAUAAACCGGUAUAAGUUUGUUGCAUUUGACUGCCAGACAGCCAGGCAUUAAUACAUUAUCGCUACACUCAGUGAAACGUAACGCUUACCAAACGAUAGACGCAUAUCAUUGGAAGUAACGUUUGGUGUCCUCGCUCACAGACCGAAUACCAUUUUUACGCAAUCUAGUCAUUUAAAUAUUUCCAUUUCGUUGUUGCGCUCUUUGUAAAUUUGUCAAUUAUACGAGUUUCCUCUAUAAUUUCAUAAACUUUAUAAAUAGAAAAAGGAGAAAAUAUUUACGAGUACGUAUUAAUUUCAUUUUUCAUAUUUUUAUGAGAUCAAUUUUAUAAUCAGCGAUGAUUUAAGAUGAAAUAAGUAAACAAUUGACGCAUAUUUCCUAGAAAGUGUCAUUGAUAUUUUAUCGCGAAUGACGUGAUACUACUGUAGAUCAGCGUUUCUAAAAAUAGUACUUUUUGCGUAAAGAAAUGUUUUUAUAAUAAUAUAUAUAACAUGACAUAAAGUUAUAAUUUGCAUGAAUUGACUAAUAAUUUGAGAAGCACUGCACUUUGCAAAAAUAUUAAAGAUUGAAAAUUGUCAAAAUUAACGGAACGAAAGCAACGUGAGAAUGGGUAAAGAUAAAUAUAUGUGCUCAUUUAAAUAAUUCCUUUUAUCAUAAAUUAUAAUUUUAAAUAAAUAAUUAUAUUUGACAUGACUCAACAUUUUCAAGAAAGCAAUUCCGCAUUUGUUAAAGAUUUUAUCGAUUUAUGUGACAAAAAUAAAAUAUUCUAUACAUUUAUCAAAUAAUUUUUAA